UAUCAGUAUUGGUUCAUUUCUAACACAAAGGUUGUCUUAAGGUUCAAGUGUAACAGAGAAAGGUUGUUUUAAGGUUUAUGUUUAGCCAAGAGAAAGUUUGGUGGAGUCUGACCACAAACUAGUUUGGAACUUAAUCAAUAUCCUCAUGGUCCUUCCAUGGAGUUCAGAAGAAAUUGUAACCAAAUGCAUGUAUUUCAUAACAUCACAUCAGAUUUGCAAUGAUCAUCGCACUUAUAUACUGAUUAUAAUCCAUGAAUUUUCAGUUCAUACUUUUACUGUUUAAAAGAUGCAAUGCAUGAUAUGUAUUGUGUGAAUAAGUAAGAGCAUUAUUGUUUCCCAAUGUGUGAACCAUUCAGAACAAUUUGUAAAAUGCACAACUCAGCAGGUGCAACACCAGGAACAAUUUUAAAAUGUAUGUACAUUGUGUCAUUUUUAUGAAAUAUGGUUGUACUCUUUUAAGCAGUUACUUAGUUGUAUUUUUUAGUGUACCACUGCAUCCUUGGUAGACCAGCUGUCUGUACCCAUUCAUGUGCUAAGGACCAGUUAUCUCCCCUUUCUGCCUCUGUUAUUAACACGUCAGUGCUCUGUAGUCUGUCACAUUUGUCAUUAUUAAUUGUCAUGUGAAGUAUAUAUUGUCAUCAAAUAAAAAAAAUACUAAUU
rnacentral:misc_RNA from 1 species